CACACACACACAGAGACAUACCUACAUACACACACACACAGACAUACUGGCAUACACACAGACAUACUGACACACACACACACACACACACACACACACACACACACACACACACACACACACACAGACAUACUGGCAUACACACCCAGACGUACUGGCAUACACAGACAUACUGACAUACACAGACAUACUGACACACACAGACAUACUGGCAUACACACAGACAUACUGACACACACAGACAUACUGGCAUACACACAGACAUACUGACACACACACACACACACACAGACAUACUGGCAUACACACAGACAUACUGACACACACACAGACAUACUGGCAUACACACACAGACAUACUGACACACAC